CCUACGGGAGGCAGCAGUGAGGAAUAUUGGUCAAUGGACGAGAGUCUGAACCAGCCAAGUAGCGUGAAGGAUGACUGCCCUAUGGGUUGUAAACUUCUUUUAUAAAGGAAUAAAACGAGGCACGUGUGCCCUUUUGCAUGUACUUUAUGAAUAAGGAUCGGCUAACUCCGUGCCAGCAGCCGCGGUAAUACGGAGGAUCCGAGCGUUAUCCGGAUUUAUUGGGUUUAAAGGGAGCGUAGAUGGGUUGUUAAGUCAGUUGUGAAAGUUUGCGGCUCAACCGUAAAAUUGCAAUUGAUACUGGCAGUCUUGAGUACAGUUGAGGUAGGCGGAAUUCGUGGUGUAGCGGUGAAAUGCGUAGAUAUCACGAAGAACCCCGAUUGCGAAGGCAGCUUACUAAACUGUGACUGACAUUGAUGCUCGAAAGUGUGGGUAUCAAACAGGAUUAGAUACCCUGGUAGUC
rnacentral:rRNA from 1 species